CAGUCGCCACGGGAAUACGGAGGGGGCUAGCGUUGUUCGGAAUUACUGGGCGUAAAGCGCACGUAGGCGGCUUGGUAAGUUAGAGGUGAAAGCCCGGAGCUCAACUCCGGAAUUGCCUUUAAGACUGCCGAGCUAGCAGGUGAGAGAGGUAAGUGGAAUUCCGAGUGUAGAGGUGAAAUUCGUAGAUAUUCGGAAGAACACCAGUGGCGAAGGCGGCUUACUGGCUCAUACUGGACGCUGAGGUGCGAAAGCGUGGGGAGCAAACAGGAUUAGAUACCCCCGUAGUCCCUGUCUCUUAUAA
rnacentral:rRNA from 1 species